CAAGGGGGAAGGAGCUCUCAUAGAGGAAGCUAACAAGAGACACUUGACUGCCUGUUUUGCUUCUGGUUGUGUGAAUAUUACUGAAGACUGCACAGGCUAUGUUGUAUUAGAGGAGAAAGAAUUGAUAUUGCUGGAUCAGUUGUUUGAAGCUGACAAAACAGGCACAACAGGAAAAACAGGCAAACGUGUUGUCUAAUCCCAUUCAUGACUGUAUCGGUUUCCACUUUAGCUGAAAUAAGGCCAGGGAGAAGGUAGGUCACAUCCAAACUAUGUGCUGUAUAAUUUCAAUUCAUUUACUCUAGGUUUUUUCAGUGUUUUAGGUAGAAUACAUUUAGUAUGUAUUAGAGUUAGUAGUUGGAGAAAUAUUGCUGAAACUGUAUUGUAUCAAUGCUGUCUAGUUUCAUCAAAAUCCAAACACUCGUAAUAACUUACGUUGGCUUCGCUGUAAUUCUGUUUUGAAUAAAUGCA